UUCAAGCCUUGUAAGUCAUUUACGCACGCCCCUUUCGCCUCACCCAUUGUUUUCCACUUUCGGUUUCACUAGAUUUACCACUCCUAAAUAAUGCCACUAUUUUUCUGGACGUAGUCAAGCAUUAAAACAAGAACUCUACACACGAGAGAAGAGUUAACUGGGCUUCAACGAGAACGCUCCCGAGGGCCAGUCAUGGGAUUGUAUUCUACGAAACCAGAGUUUACAUCAACACUUGACAACCAGAGGGUGAGAAGAGGACAGAACGUUGAGCUCAAGGUCAAGGUCAACUUGGAGGGUGUGAAGGUCGACUGGACUAAAGAUGGUUCAACACUGUAUGACGGAGACAGGAUCCACUUCAGCCAGAAAGGAACGACUUUAACGCUGACCAUUG